GCCGUUUUUUUUUAGAGACCUGGUAGGAGGGUGGGGAGCGGGGAAAAAGCACGAAGGAGUGGGUGGCGCGGAGGGGACGAGAGAGAGGGAGAGCUCGCGGGCGGCGGUGGUGGCUAGGUAGGGGACACGAGAGUGCGAGCGACGGCGGCUGGUGGACGAGAGGGAGGUAGAGCGCGCGUGCGGCCGCUCUAGCUCGGCUAGACCGUGCGGCCUCCUCCAGAAGUAGCGCUCUCAACUACGACCCUAAGCCUACUGGAGGUAGCAUAUGUGCUGAACCCACAGGAACGUGUUCGCUGAACUUUAGGGUCGGACCUAGGCCUACGGCGGAGGGAGCGGCACGCACUUAGAGCAGGGCGUUCUGGGAGUAGCAGGACCAGGAGCGGGAGUGGAGGUUUCCCUAACUUCUAGAAGCUCUAGGCGACGUAGCUGAAGACCGAAUAGUUCCCCCCGCAGUUCUUCUGUUCCGGACUCCUGUGGCGAAUCGUCCCGGACCGGCACCGUUACGGAGUACCUCUCGAACGUCGUCCGCGUAGCCUUCGAGUGGCGGUAGGAGCUGUAGUAGUGGUUCAAAAGUCUUUCGAACCAACUCGGACACAGACGAUACGCUAGUACUCACCCUUUACUUUUCCGUCAAUACAAGGAAGACCAUUCUUGAUCUCUGAAGGACAACAUGUACUCUUAAGACCAUUUUUACUAUAAAGGUUCUAAAAAUCAAUCAACGUCUCCCUGGACAUGUUCCACUAGUAGAGAAAACCGUAACUGAAGCGAGCACGUCAGAAGGAGGUUCACUCAUUGACCGGUACAUUUUCGAACACGAACGUCUAAAAAAUCAUCUUAAACACCUAAAGAUAUGGAAAAGUGUAGAGUACAUACUCGUCAUGCUACUACUCCGACGACUGUAUUAAGAAGACCGAUGGCCACCACUGGGGACACGUUGUUAAAACGUACGAUCUAGUCCCCGUACUUUCCAAUUGAAAAGUGAAGAAAAGAUCUAGUCGUUGAACUAACGAAGCGCACGACCGUAGUAACGAAUCCAACUUACGAUGUUGGACUUGCGUUGACUCGUAAAAUUUAAACAAGCAGAAGAACAUUGAACCAAAGUCAGUAAAUGUAAGUUGAUAGGAAACAGACUAAAACUCUUACUCGUCCAAUUUAGUUACUCCUUCUUCCAUCCCGAUUUUAAGUCCUAAUAGUUAGUUUAAAUCCUCGUUGUAAUAUCAUACUUCUAGCGAAAUAUAGUAGAUUCGUUUAACAACUUCUAUACAUCGAACAAUUCGUAAUACCUGUACAGGGAACACCUAAUAAUAGUGUAGAGUCAAUGGCCAAAACAAACAAAAUUAAAACCUGAGUGCUACAAGUUAAACAUUCCUUAACACUUUAUCCUUCCGUAUAAGUUAAGUACAUACGUAUACAAAAUAACGAGGCAUUG
rnacentral:rRNA from 1 species